rnacentral:lncRNA from 1 species
CCCCUGCCUGACAGCCUCCGGCCUGAGAGUCAGGCCUGGGAGGCGGCCCGGGAUGGGCCGAGCCGUGAAGGGUUGGGGUCCCCCCUCUGAACAUCCCCCCCUUCUGCUCUCUUCCCAUCUGUCUCUCCAAGGCUAGGCACUGCCUUUUCUUUCUCUAGUCAUUUAGCAGAUAUUUUACUGAGCAUCUACUAUGCGCUGGCCUGUGAGGAGUCAAAGGUGAACUCCAUCCAGCCCCUGCUUUCAGGUAGCACACUGCUGGGGCCGGACCUGGCCAUGAACCUGAGUAAGUAGCAUGUUGCUGGCUCUAAGGGGAGUCAUGAACAAGCACCGUGGUGCCGAGGAGACUGUCCAGAGUGUGAAGAAGGUGGGUUUUGAAGGACGGAUGAAGAAGGAGGGCCUGGCUUUCCAGCGUGAGCAAAGGCACAGACCGGAACAGUGAACAUCUGGGCAUGGCUGGAGUUUGGGGUAUGUUGGGGAAAGAUGGGGCAUGGGGCCGGGAGGCCAACAGUACGUGGAUCAUGAAGGGCCUCUUUAAGGGGCUUGGCCAUUGUUUUAACUGAGGGUGCUGGGGAGCCAUAGAAGGUUAUAGGGAAGGUGAGUAUUGAGGACAGACACGAGUUACAGGGAAGAUCGCUGCAGCAAGAGUUGAGGGUGGAUUGGAGGGGUGCUCACCUCAUACCCAGGAGCCAGGAGGAGAGAGGGGGAUGGGAAGCACUAGGCAAGGUGGGGCACUUGCUCGGAGAGUUGUCCUUGGGACCUCCUUCUCCGCAUUGCCAUCUCCCUUCUGAAAUUGCCAGCACCGAAGAUGUGGACCAGGAGGGACUCACAUCUGGAGGCCAGGCCCUCCGCUGCCCCCCCCUCCACCCCACCUUCCUCCGGAUGACUGAAGCCCACCCCUGGCACAGGAGGAGUGGGAAGGGGGGGCUCAUUGGUCCUCGACGCAGGCCGCCCCCUGUCUGAGCCCAUCACCCCUCGGAGACCAAGCCUCCGAAACCAACCACAGCUGUUUCAGUUUUUCCUCCAGGGCCUCUCCUAAACCUCAACGCAGGGAGGGGGUGGGCGGAGCGAGCCAGCUCCGAGGCCUUUCCUGUGUGCUUCCCCUCCAAGGGCCACGGACACCCUCCGCCUGAUCGAGCAAUAGGGGCAUUGGAGGAGUCCUGGACCGAGGAGCAGAGGUGGUUCCGGCACAGUCCUUUCCUGGCUGCGUCGCGUGGGUCUGGCUGGCUGUCCCAGCCCAGCAGGUGGGCUCCCAGGGCAUCAAGAGCUGCUUCCCCCGACUUGGAAGACAGGCCCAGCACCACGAAGCGUUUGCUGUUGGACGAGGGGCUGCUUUAUUCUCCAGGGUCUGGCCAGCUGAGGGCUGGUAGAGAAUCAGCAUGGCGUGGGGAACAGGCCUCCAGAAAGGCCCCUCUGGGAGUCUGGGGAGUUGGAAUCCGGUCCCAGCCCUGCCACGCCGUCCCCCAGGGCAUCCUGGCAAAUCAGUCUGCCCAUCUGUAAACUGGGGAGGUGAAACCCUGCUCUCCUACACAAGGUUGCUACGGGGGGGAAUUCAUGUCUGUUGCACUAAAUAGGUGAUUCCCCCCCCGACCCCUCCCCCCCGCAAUCUCAGAAGGUUUUAGCUUCCCUCUUGUCUCUUUCUAGGCUGAGCUUACCUUUCUGGGGUCAACACCUCUGGGAAGUCUCCCUCUUACCCCUACCUGACCCCCAACAGUCCCUGCCUGCCUAUGCUGGAGCAGGGAGUCUCUCCAGAUUCCAGUGUCCCCUGUAACACGGGUCAUGGUUUUCCCGGGUGGGGGCAGGGACCAGGUGCACUGUGUGUGCCGAGCUCCCGCCCAGUCCUCGGGGCCUCCUAGCGAUGGCACCCACUUAUCUGCCCGGCCCUGUGCCCGGCGCCUUGCUUUCAUACAUUAUCUCAUUUCAUCUACACCUCCCCCCUGCCUGAUGCUUGCCAGCUGGGAUGUACCGCACAGGGAAGCCGCUCCGGGCCCUGAAAUGAAUGAAGCUGGCGACAGAAUCGGGAGAAGGGAGGCGAGUCCUAAUUUGGGGGCUGCCUGGCUGUGACUGCGGCCAAGGACCUUACCCUCGCGGAACCUGUUUCCAGGCCUGGAAAGUGGGAACGUUAGCAUUCACUGACUGGCUGCAGGAUUACAGAGGUGAUGUGUGGGGGGGCUCCACAUUAGUUCUCUCUUCUGCACCCUCAAGGCCAAGGCUCCCCACCGGGGGGGCUCUCCUUCUCCCUCACUGCUCUGCAGCAGAGGCAGUGAACUCUCUGGAAUAUUCCCCCAUUCUAACAGGCAGCUCUACAGGCUGGACCUUGGCCGCUGCUGUUAGAAAUGAGCUCAGCACCUCUGGACAGGGGACCCAGGCCAGCGCGGCCCUUCCCAGACUGCCGACUCCUGCCCUGUCCUGCCCGCUCCUGCCCUGCCCGUGUGAAGGCAGUCCCUCCUCUAGCCGGCAGUGGCAGGGAGGGCUGCCAGACGCAUUGAAACACCAUCCACACCCCUCAGCCAACCUGACUGGCCCAGCCUGGGGAUGGUGGAGGUGACCAGAGCAGGCUCCGAAGUCCUAGAAGUCAGAGCAGGAGACGACCCCAGAGAUUCUGCACCUGAUCUGCUCCCUCAUUUAAGGAUGGAGCAGAAGCCACCCAAAGAGACCGGCUACUUGGCCAAGGUCACACAGGGAGCUAGGGCUGAAGUGACUUCCGUCUAUGGAGCCAAGGAAAGAACAUGAUCCCGGGAUACCUGGACCUCAAAAAGUGAUCUUUUCCGGGGCGCCUGGGUGGCUCAGUCGGUUAAGCGGCCGACUUCGGCUCAGGUCGUGAUCUUGCGGGUUUGUGGGUUCGAGCCCCGCGUCGGGCUCUGUGCUGACGGCUCAGAGCCCGGAGCCUGCUUCGGGUUCGGUGUCUUUCACUCUCAGCCCC